GACGAACGCUGGCGGCGUGCUUAACACAUGCAAGUCGAACGGUGAAGCGCCUUCCUUUUUGGUGGGUGUGGAUGAGUGGCGAACGGGUGAGUAACACGUGAGUAACCUGCCCCCUUCUUCUGGAUAACCGCAUGAAAGUGUGGCUAAUACGGGAUAUUCUGGGUCUGUCGCAUGAUGGGUCUGGGAAAGAUGUUGUUUCGGUGGGGGAUGGGCUCGCGGCCGAUCAGCUGGUUGGUGGGGUGAUGGCCUACGAAGGGGGUGACGGGUAGCCGGCCUGAGAGGGUGGACGGUCACACUGGGACUGAGACACGGCCCAGACUCCUACGGGAGGCAGACGUGGGGAAUAUUGCACAAUGGGCGCAAGCCUGAUGCAGCGACGCCGCGUGAGGGAUGGAGGCCUUCGGGUUGUGAACCUCUUUCGCCAGUGAAGCAGGCCUGCCUCGUUUGUGGGUGGGUUGACGGUAGCUGGAUAAGAAGCGCCGGCUAACUACGUG
rnacentral:rRNA from 1 species